rnacentral:lncRNA from 1 species
CCCCCAAAACUUGAAAAAAAUAAUUUUAUCUUUUGGCAUGGGCGAUUUGGUCUCAGCUUGGCUCCCAGUCGCCUCCUCUUAGUCACUCCGCAGUCCUUUAGCUCCUAAAUUUGCACACGCACACACAUGAACACUCGUUUAGUGAAAAACACAAAUCGAAAAAAGAAAAAGAACACACCUAACUGGGGUGUGGUGCUCGAAAAUCUAAAUAGCCUCGGGUUGGGAUUCUGCCAUCACACGGUGCUCCUCAACCGUGAUUCCCUUUCUUUUUCUUCCUCAUCCGCGAUUCUCUCUCUCUCCUCUCACCUUGCGCGACCGUUCUCAGCUUUCCUUCCUCCCACUCGACCACU